UCGGGGAUGGUGUAAAUGGCAACACUUCUGGUUCUGGUCCAGACAUUGGGGGUUCAAAUCCUCCUCCCCGAG
rnacentral:tRNA from 1 species